GCGCCCGUAGCUCAAUCGGAUAGAGCAUUGGACUACGAAUCCAAAGGUUGGAGGUUCGAGUCCUCCCGGGCGCGCCA
rnacentral:tRNA from 2 species